rnacentral:rRNA from 1 species
GAUGAACGCUAGCGAUAGGCUUAACACAUGCAAGUCGAGGGGCAGCAUGGUCUUAGCUUGCUAAGACUGAUGGCGACCGGCGUAAGGGUGCGUAACGCGUAUGUAACUUGCCUUUGGGAGGGGGAUAACCCGGAGAAAUCCGGCCUAAUACCGCGUAUUCUCAAGUUGCUGCAUGGCAGUUUGAGGAAAGAUUUAUUGCCCAGAGAUAGGCAUGCGUUCCAUUAGGUAGUUGGUGAGGUAACGGCUCACCAAGCCGACGAUGGAUAGGGGAGCUGAGAGGCUGACCCCCCACACUGGACGUGAGACACGGCCCACG